rnacentral:rRNA from 1 species
GACGAACGCUGGCGGCGUGCUUAACACAUGCAAGUCGAACGGAAAGGCCCUGCUUUUGUGGGGUGCUCGAGUGGCGAACGGGUGAGUAACACGUGAGUAACCUGCCCUUGACUUUGGGAUAACUUCAGGAAACUGGGGCUAAUACCGGAUAGGAGCUCCUGCUGCAUGGUGGGGGUUGGAAAGUUUCGGCGGUUGGGGAUGGACUCGCGGCUUAUCAGCUUGUUGGUGGGGUAGUGGCUUACCAAGGCUUUGACGGGUAGCCGGCAUGAGAGGGUGACCGGCCACAUUGGGACUGAGAUACGGACCAGACUCCUACGGGAGGCAGCAGUGGGGAAUAUUGCAGAAUGGGCGGAAGCCUGAUGCAGCAACGCCGCGUGCGGGAUGACGGCCUUCGGGUUGUAAACCGCUUUCGCCUGUGACGAAGCGUGAGUGACGGUAAUGGGUAAAGAAGCAACGGCUAACUACGUG